AAUCAACGCUGGCGGCGUGCCUAACACAUGCAAGUCGAACGAGAAAGUGGGGGCAACUCCAUGAGUAAAGUGGCAGACGGGUGAGUAACACGUGAACAACCUACUCUCGAGUGUGGGAUAACACCGCGAAAGCGGUGCUAAUACCGCAUAACAUCUCCGGGUCGCAUGGUCUGGAGAUCAAAAGCGCAAGUUGCUUGAGGAGGGGUUCGCGCCUGAUUAGCUAGUUGGUGAGGUAACGGCCCACCAAGGCAACGAUCAGUAGCCGGCCUGAGAGGGCGAACGGCCACACUGGAACUGAGACACGGUCCAGACUCCUACGGGAGGCAGCAGUGGGGAAUUUUGCGCAAUGGGCGAAAGCCUGACGCAGCAACGCCGCGUGGAGGAUGAAGGCCUUCGGGUCGUAAACUCCUGUCAGUGGGGACGAAUGCUUCGCAAGAAGUUUGACUGUACCCGCUGAGGAAGCCACGGCUAACUCCGUGCC
rnacentral:rRNA from 1 species